rnacentral:rRNA from 1 species
GGUGAACGCUGGCGGCGUGCCUAACACAUGCAAGUCGAGCGGUGCAGUUUGAAGCUUCGGUGGAAAGCUGCAUAGCGGCGGACGGGUGAGGAAAACGUAGGAACGUGCCCCUUGGAGUUGGAUAGCCACGGGAAACUGUGGGUAAACCGACAUAGACUCGAGAGAGUAAAGGCCGAAAGGCGCCAAGGGAGCGGCCUGCGGCCCAUCAGGUAGUUGGUAGUGUAAAGGACUACCAAGCCGACGACGGGUAGCCGGUCUGAGAGGAUGGCCGGCCACAAGGGCACUGAGAGACGGGCCCUACUCCUACGGGAGGCAGCAGUGGGGGAUUUUGGACAAUGGGCGAAAGCCUGAUCCAGCGACGCCGCGUGGAGGACGAAGCCCUUCGGGGUGUAAACUCAUGAAGCUAACGAAUAAGACGGAAGGGGAACCUUCCGGGAGAAGGUAAUUAGUGAAAAGCCCCGGCUAACUACGUG